CCGACGAUCAGUAGCCGGCCUGAGAGGGUGGACGGCCACAUUGGGACUGAGACACGGCCCAAACUCCUACGGGAGGCAGCAGUGGGGAAUAUUGCACAAUGGGGGAAACCCUGAUGAACAGCGACGCCGCGUGAGUGAAGAAGUAUUUCGGUAUGUAAAGCUCUAUCAGCAGGGAAGAAACUGACGGUACCUGACUAAGAAGCCCCGGCUAACUAC
rnacentral:rRNA from 1 species